rnacentral:misc_RNA from 1 species
GUGAAUCAUCGAAUUUUUGAACGCAAAUUGCACUCUCCGGUUUUCCGGGAGAGUAUGCCUGUUUGAGGGUCGGCCUAAAUAAAAUCGGCCUAGUAGUUUGCUGUGUUUUUCACGGUAACGUUGGUCGGAAUUUGGGUCAUCUUAAACCUUUCGGGGUUGUAAGCGACCUAAAAUUUCUCUUACGAUUUCUACGAACGUGUCUAAGAAUUUCUUGUACGUUCAAGGUAUCGAUAUUAGACGUGACCGUCGUAUCGGAUCGCGUCCAUAAUAAUUUCUUUAACUGACCUCAGACAGGUAAGAG